CGUGGGUGUGUGAGUAUGUACGUAUGUGUGGGUGUCUGUACAUAUAUACACACACACAUAUACAUAUA
rnacentral:miRNA from 1 species